CUGGAGGUAUCAGAAGUGCGAAUGCUGACAUAAGUAACGAUAAAGCGGGUGAAAAGCCCGCUCGCCGGAAGACCAAGGGUUCCUGUCCAACGUUAAUCGGGGCAGGGUGAGUCGACCCCUAAGGCGAGGCCGAAAGGCGUAGUCGAUGGGAAACAGGUUAAUAUUCCUGUACUUGGUGUUACUGCGAAGGGGGGACGGAGAAGGCUAUGUUGGCCGGGCGACGGUUGUCCCGGUUUAAGCGUGUAGGCUGGUUUUCCAGGCAAAUCCGGAAAAUCAAGGCUGAGGCGUGAUGACGAGGCACUACGGUGCUGAAGCAACAAAUGCCCUGCUUCCAGGAAAAGCCUCUAAGCAUCAGGUAACAUCAAAUCGUACCCCAAACCGACACAGGUGGUCAGGUAGAGAAUACCAAGGCGCUUGAGAGAACUCGGGUGAAGGAACUAGGCAAAAUGGUGCCGUAACUUCGGGAGAAGGCACGCUGAUAUGU
rnacentral:rRNA from 1 species